GUGAUUUUUGACUUGGGGUGUGGAAAAGUUACAAAAUGAACUGGAGAGCUAUCAUUUAGUAAUUGGGAACACACUUUGUUUAUUUAAGUAGGACUAAAUACUGCGGAAGCAAGUUUUUGCUAAAAUUAGACACUGAGAUAGGUUCAAUAGCAGCGCCAGUUGUAAUCCUUUAGAAAGCACAGUUUGUUGGUUCACAUCAGGACAUGAGGCCAUUAUAUCACAGCUGUCUCCACUGCAGGACAGGAAAGUUACUGAAGCUGGAAUUACUUCCACCUAAAGGUCAGCUGGGGGCUGUACUCUGUGCAGCUUCACCCAGGGACCUAGACCGUCUGGCAUGUGGCUCAUCUCAAUGGCAGAGGGAGAAGACAGAGUGGUCAAUUGCAUAUUGGCUCUUAAAGCUUAUGCCUGAAAGUGACACAGGACACUUCUACUCAUAUGUCACAGGACAAAGCAAGUCACAUGGCUGCACCCAACUUCAAAAGCUCUGAAACUGGAUAUGCCGUGCAACAUGUUCUUCAGCUGGUCAGGAAACCAAGCGUUUUCUGAAGGGCUGGCUGAGCUUGUGUAAUCUGCCAGCAUCUGUGGGCCCACAGUGGUGGGAGGCACAAGGACAUCAGGAUUCUCCACAUGAUGACAUGGUUGUAACCCUGGCGCGGCCUGCGCUCCAGUCCCUAACAAGAAGGACAUUGGAUUCAAGUGGAGAACCCUGUUUUCUAGCUAUGACCUAGGAAGGGUCUGACCCCAGAGAGGGGGGGAGACCUGCCAGCCAGGUCCCUGCCAGCCAGGCCCCUGCAAGCCUCGGUGCUGGCACCGCCCUGGACAGGCCCUUUAGGCAGAGUGCUGGGCUCCCAGUUCCAAGGCCGGGGAGAAAAGCUCAGGCCUGUCGGACCUGGAGGCCAUAUCUGCCUCACUGCGGCAGAUCCCUGGGGGAAGCAGAGAGGCUGGAGGUGGAGGGAACCCAGGGGGGUUUCUGGCUCAGAAUCUCUUUCGGAGGCCCACGGUACAGAUGCCCAGACUCCUGUAUAUUUUUGUUUGAUUUCCACCCGCUGGUAGGUUCUUUCAUACUUUGCUGAGGGGAGUGUAAUCUGUACAAUUUGGUAGAAACUAUUUGAAAAGCUUAUGUCCUUUGACGUUGCAAUUUCACUUCUAAGAAUUUCCUCUACAGUGAUGGGUGCAUAUCAUGUGAAAUGAAGCGGCCACAAAGCUGGGCAAUGCGGCGAUGUUUAUAAUAGUGAAGACUAGAAACAAGCCACAUGUCCAAAGAGGUUCUGACUUUUUAAAGAACGGUUGUCCCGUUGUACGGUGAACACUCAGUGUCUUUUAAGAAAGACCGAGGAAGUGCUGUGUGAACGCAUGUGGAACCAUCUCCGAGAUUUACUGCGAAGUUAAAGGAAGGAAAGAGCAGAGCGCGCGACAGAGCACAUUGCCCUUUGUCCCAUCUGAGGCUGCGUCUGCCGCGAGGUCGGACUUCCAGAGCAGCAGCUGCCUCCGAAAAGGGAGCUGGGGGCUGGGAACAGGGGCAAUAGGGAGACUUGCUUUUCAGAGCAUUUUAUACCUUGUGCCAACUGGCUAUAUAUCUAUUAAAAGAUUUAAGGAAAAAGAAAAAGGGAAAGCUCCACUAGUGAUUCUGAUGUUCACAGAGAUUAAGAAACGAUGUGUGAACGUGGCACUGCUGAGACCACCCAGGAGCGUAAACAUGUCCCUUAAAAUAUAAAAGACCAAUCCGCGGAGAGCAAGAACAUCUCCCUUGGGGGGUGCGGGGUGAAUGCAAGCCAGGAACACAGGCUAGUCCCAAGUACACACAGCUAGGCUGAAACUAGCCCGGUUCUGACUCACUCUGAGCUGACUCAAGAGACAGUAAUUUUUCAUUCUCUGGGAUCUCACUGCCCUUUGAGCUAUGAGCUAUGGUUCUUGCUCUCGGGUUCUGACCCCACCUUUCUUCAAAUCCCUCUGUCAGUUUUCUCUGCCCAAAUCUGUCUCUUUGGCUUCCUUUUUGCCCCCUUGUACCUGAGACCUUUCUCUACUCCUCUACUCUACCCCAGGGUAGCCUGGUUUUGCAGAUCAGAUCUUAUACUGGUGGCAGCAGACUUGACAUCCCAUGUGACAAGGCUCCCAGGUAUCCCAUUCACAGAAUUCCCCACUCUCUUUCCCUUCCCUCUCUCCCCCUUUCUUUCCAUCACCCCCCUGAGGUGUCUCCAACUCUUUGCCCAUGUUUGCUCCCAGCAUCCUUUUGCUCCCUCCGCACACCCUGACUUUAUUCAUUUCUUGAAACAGGGUCUGUGACUCCUCUCAACACUACUUUCUGAUCUCAGAGUUCAUUAAAAAGGUCCUUUGCUCCCCCCAUCCCCAACCCACCUUCCUGCUGGACCGUGAGACCCCUUUUGGCCUGUGUGGAAACAGCAGAUAUUCACAGUUAACUGUGGCUGCUGUCGCCCAGAUGGGCUUACCCUGACUCAACACAUUUCUAGGAUGUGGGAAAAUGUGCCAUAUUUAAAGGCAUAGGCUCCAGAUUCAAACCUCCCAGGUCUGAGUUAUUUCUCUGUUGGCUGAAUGAUUGGGCGUGUGACCUUGCAAAAAUUACUUAACUUCUCUGGGCCUCAUUCUUCUCAUCUGGAAAACAGGGAAAAUAACAACACUUCCCCCUUAGGUGUGUGUGAGGACAAAAGAAUAUGUUAACAUAGUGCUGACUGCAGGGCCUGGACUGUAUCAAGCUCUCAAAAAAUAAAUAAUACAUAAGCUAUUUCGUUAUUAUCUUUACAACAAAUGACUGGGCUUUGGAACUCUUUCUACACUACGUUUGCUGGUUUUAUACCUGGAUGCUAACAAUGGUGUAUGAACCUAAUGUUUGGAGAUCUUAUCUUUUUGAACUGAUGUGCAUUUCUGACAUAUUUGAUACAUAUCAUCCCACUUGGUCCUUAAACCAAUUUGGGCCAUGGGCCUAUGUCAGACCAUGGGGCCAGCUUUGGCCUGGGGGCUGUGGUUUAUUUACUGAACUCUGAUAUUUGAUUUUAUGCUGUUAAAUCAAAAUAUAAACCUUGUGAAAUGGAUCUGCUUAAGCAACCUUGCACUUUGUUAAUAAUAGUUGUUUAUAUUUACUGAAUAUGUACUAUGUGCCAAAUACUGUUCCACGUGUUUUGCAUGUAUUAACUUAUUUCAUCCUCACAGCCACUGUCUUUGAUAGCUGCUGUCUGUACCAUUUUACAGAUGGGGAAACUGAGGCACAGGGAGGUUAAGUAAAUUUCCCAAGGCCACAUGGCCAGCAAGGAGCAUAGAUGGGAUUGAAAUACAAGCAGGUCAGCACCAGAGCCUGUGCACUUAACCAUUUUGUAUCUCGUUCAGAAGCAUUAAGUUGUACAGCAAUUUGGUGGGGAAAAAGGGGUUGGGGGGAGCCGAGUAACCCGUAGAAGCUUCUGGAACAAAUGUGUUUAGAACCAUUCACCUUGAAGGUGAGGAGGUGUGAAAACAGGCCGCCUGUGUUGCAUAAAGAACGGCCAGGCUGGGAACCUGUGGGGGCUUCCCUUCAUGCUGGGACGGCGGAGGAUCCGGAUGAGACUGCAGAGGCAUCCUGAUUGGAGCAAGGCACUUGAUUGGAUCUCAUUAAAUUUUAAUCAUAAACUGAAUUCAAAAUAAAUUGAAAACUAGUUGACAGAGCACAAACAAAGGGUGAUGAUAAAUGGUGAUGCAUCUAGAGAGGGGAUAGCUUCCAGGGGACGCCUCGGAGGCAAGGACGGAAGGGAUUUAAUGAAGGUGUUGUGUCCCUGGAAGAAGACAAAUAGCAGAGUGAGAAACAGAGGAAGGGCAGCAGUGAGCAGCCUGAGUAAUUAAUAAACCACAUCACCAGCUCCGAGCAAUCAAGGCUUGCGGCUGUAAGCCAGCUGCUUGGAUUUUUUUUUUAAAGUGUUCUUUGGGUCAACAAUAGGGUUGAAGAGUCCUACACAUGCAGCAUGAAUAUUUUCAGGUGAACUUUAAAAAUAAAUAUAUAAACUCAGAGCGAGAAAGAUCCUCAGAUCCAAAUUGGAUCAGACACUUUCAACGACAGAUACUCAAGGUCUUCUUACUUCAUUCCACAGGGAGUAGUUUUCUUAUGUGUCUGAAAGUCAUGGAUUAAAAAACUCUUUAAACUCAUUAAUGUUCUUUGUUUACUGCCCAAUUGCAUGCAAACUUUCACAACAUCAGUUUGCUUCAUAGAAGUUGGUUUUGAGUGAACUCGUUUGGCCCAGGGUCAAAUUCCAGUGAAGAAAUACUUCCAAGUUUACUUGCAGAAUUUCCCAGACAGAGCAGUUCUUCCAUUUGGUUUGCCAGAGGAUUGGAAGCAAUGGUGAGCCCUGGAGACCAGGGAACAUUUAUUGGCCCUUGUUCAUACUGUGCACAGUAUGACUCACAUCAGGCUAAAGGAAGCAUAGCGUGACCUGACCGGAUUUGAAGAAGGCUGCUCUUGAAGUCCUCUGAGCCAUUACACAAGAAGGGGAUAGACUAAUGGGAAUGAGUC